rnacentral:tRNA from 2 species
UCAGGGUGUGGCUGAGUUAGCUAAGCAUCUCACUUACACCGAGAAGACAUCCA